UCAUGUGUCAUCUCGGCCAAGCUGGAGAAUCCUUUCGUGUUUUUUUACAAAUAGGGGGUGUGUGAUUUCUACUUCCAUUAGUAGUGUUCUUAUUGAUUUCUUUUGUGAUUUUGUUGGUUCUUUUGUUGUUCCUUUUUGGGUUAGCUCUAGCCUCAAUUUAUUAUUGGGUUUUUCUGUUUGGUUGUUGCUUCUUGUAGUUGUACUUUAUUAACCGGUGGGAAUGUAGUUUGCUUGGUGUAUUUGGUUUU
rnacentral:lncRNA from 1 species